rnacentral:rRNA from 1 species
AUACGUAGGGCGCGAGCGUUGUCCGGAAUUACUGGGAGUAAAGGGAGCGUAGGCGAGAUGGCAAGUCAGAUGUGAAAACUAUGGGCUCAACCCAUAGACUGCAUUUGAAACUGUUGUUCUUGAGUGAAGUAGAGGUAAGCGGAAUUCCUGGUGUAGCGGUGAAAUGCGUAGAUAUCAGGAGGAACACCGGUGGCGAAGGCGGCUUACUGGGCUUUUACUGACGCUGAGGCUCGAAAGCGUGGGGAGCAAACAGGAUUAGAUACCCUGGUAGUCCACGCUGUAAACGAUGAUUACUAGGUGUGGGGGGACUGACCCCUUCCGUGCCGCAGUUAACACAAUAAGUAAUCCACCUGGGGAGUACGGCCGCAAGGUUGAAACU